UCACUCCCAGAAUGGCAAAAAGAUAGAUGAAGAUGGAGAAAUGUGCACCUAACACUGCAUCUUUAUGAGCAAAGGAUUUUCUUUGGAAAAACUGUGAUUAUAUGAAAAUCAUAGGACAUUUUAUUUGUGACUACAGGGCGUGGUGAAAACCUCUGCUACCAUACUGGAUACAAGGUCUUUAACUUCUCAGCACCAGUUUUAUGGAGCCCCCACCGCUAAGCAAGUAUGCAAAAUGCAGUGCUGCUUCGCAUUGGGAAAUCCCCAAUCUGGUGCCAAGAGGUUCAUAAAUACAGUAAUGGACCCUCUUAUGUCAAAAGUGAGUACUGUUUAACAGCGUAAGUUGGAACAGCCUUCAGGAUGCUUUGCAGCUGCAGUUGUUCCACUGCAAGACAUCACAAACUUCAUGAUGAUGGUUGUCACACCAGGUCCUGGAAAGGCAACCUACUUCAGUCUGCAAAGUGAACUAAAAGGGAAUGGUUGUUCAUACAUGGCCCUGAUGCCACUGACAUAAGAAACGCAAUGACAAGAGCGAUGAAGUAGGAAUUUGGUGGCAGAUGGUCAGGUCUGCAGGAAGUGUCCACCCAGCUUUGUUUGGCCCAUAUUCUGAAACAACUAGAAUAAACACUUAGUGUCAUAAUUUAUAAGCAUAUCAGUACCAAUAAAUCAGAAUCAUGCAAACA
rnacentral:lncRNA from 1 species